ACCUAAUGAUGUGGAAAUUUAUGAAGUAGGUCCCUAAAAUACUCCCAGGUCUCAAAGAAAUGUUCCCCAUCCAUCUAUGUGAAACUUGUGAUUGCCCUUCACAGCU